UCCGUUCAUUAAGCCUCGAUC
rnacentral:piRNA from 1 species